CCUACGGGUGGCUGCAGUCGAGAAUCUUCGGCAAUGAGCGCAAGCUUGACCGAGCGAUGCCGCGUGCGGGAUGAAGGCCCUCGGGUUGUAAACCGCUGUCGUAGGGGAAUAUGAUCCUAGGAGGAAGGACGGGCUAAGUUCGUGCCAGCAGCCGCGGUAAGACGAACCGUCCAAACGUUAUUCGGAAUCACUGGGCUUACAGAGUUCGUAGGCGGUCUGGAAAGUUGGGUGUGAAAUCCCUCGGCUCAACCGAGGAACUGCGCUUGAAACUACCAGACUCGAGGGAGAUAGAGGAAAGCGGAACUGAUGGUGGAGCGGUGAAAUGCGUUGAUAUCAUCAGGAACACCGGUGGCGAAGGCGGCUUUCUGGGUCUUCCUGACGCUGAGGAACGAAAGCUAGGGGAGCGAACGGGAUUAGAUACCCUUGUAGUC
rnacentral:rRNA from 1 species